GAUGAACGCUGGCGGCGUGCCUAAUACAUGCAAGUCGAGCGAACAGACGAGGAGCUUGCUUCUCUUACGUUAGCGGCGGACGGGUGAGUAACACGUGGAUAACCUACCUAUAAGACUGGGAUAACUUCGGGAAACCGGAGCUAAUACCGGAUAAUAUAUUGAACCGCAUGGUUCAAUAGUGAAAGACGGUUUUGCUGUCACUUAUAGAUGGAUCCGCGCCGCAUUAGCUAGUUGGUAAGGUAACGGCUUACCAAGGCAACGAUGCGUAGCCGACCUGAGAGGGUGAUCGGCCACACUGGAACUGAGACACGGUCCAGACUCCUACGGGAGGCAGCAGUAGGGAAUCUUACGCAAUGGGCGAAAGCCUGACGGAGCAACGCCGCGUGAGUGAUGAAGGUCUUCGGAUCGUAAAACUCUGUUAUUAGGGAAGAACGAAUGUGUAAGUAAAUAUGCACGUCUUGACGGUACCUAAUCAGAAAGCCACGGCUAACUACGUG
rnacentral:rRNA from 1 species